CCUACGGGAGGCAGCAGUGAGGAAUAUUGGUCAAUGGGCGCGAGCCUGAACCAGCCAAGCAGCGUGCAGGAUGACUGCCCUACGGGUUGUAAACUUCUUUUAUACAGGAGUAAAGUGAGGCACGUGUACCUUUUUGUAUGUACUUUAUGAAUAAGGAUCGGCUAACUCCGUGCCAGCAGCCGCGGUAAUACGGAGGAUCCGAGCGUUAUCCGGAUUUAUUGGGUUUAAAGGGAGCGUAGAUGGGUUGAUAAGUCAGUGGUGAAAGGUUGCGGCUCAACCGUAAAAUUGCCAUUGAUACUGGUAGUCUUGAGGACAGUUGAGGUAGGCGGAAUGCGUGGUGUAGCGGUGAAAUGCUUAGAGAUCACGAAGAACUCCGAUUGCGAAGGCAGCUUACUAAACUGUCACUGACAUUGAUGCUCGAAAGUGUGGGUAGCAAACAGGAUUAGAUACCCGAGUAGUC
rnacentral:rRNA from 1 species